CUAACAGUCACAUGAGGAGAUCAAAUAACAGCAGGAUUUGAAUCGUGUGCAAUUAAAUCAAAGUAGAUACUGUAAAACAAUUAAAAUUAGAAUUCAUGGAAAUAUGUUUUUGAACAACUAACUGCUGUACAUGAGUUUGUAUUUCUGCAAUAGAAACAAAAGUUCCAGAACCAGAUGCAGACACACCCGGAGCCUACAAACUACCACCGCCGAGCAAGGACUAACAGUCACAUGAGGAAAUCAAAUAACGCUCCGGAUGGGUUGGUGACCAGGGCGCUGGCAUAAUUACAAUCCCUCAGUCCGAUGUCAUAAAAGAGCUUGGAAACGGGGGAAAUGAAGCAGACAUUGGACACGUUUCCAAAGUGACUGGGAGAAUGUGGAAAAACUUGCCCUCGGAAGUACGCAAGGUUCUGUAUGCACUAGCUGCUACCAUCAUUUCUUAAUAAAUAAUGAAAUGGACACAAG
ensembl:lncRNA